CCUCUACCUCCCAUCUCUAGAAGAGAACCCGUGCUUCGUAACUAAUUCAUCCCCAUUUCUUUAUAUAUAUGCAUAUGUCAUGUUCUUUUGAAUAAUUUACCUAGAGUCCCUCAUGAACAUGUUUCUUGUGUGCAGAUGCAAAGUAAUGCACCAUCAUAUGUCUGGGCAAAUAAUCCAAGUGUCCAAGAAGCUCUUAAUAUCAGAAAGGUACGUUGAAAAGAAUUAGGAAUAUUUGAAAUUGUUUGAGAAAAUAUAUGAGUAUCUUUUGUCAAUUUUAUGUGGAACGGUUAUUAUCAGAUUAUCCUGUCUCUGUCAUCAUCCUCAUCAACCAGGUCUCCCACAGCCUUUCAGCCCAGCCCUCGUCACUAUUGGAGGGAGGGAGGGCGGGUCAAGUGGGGCAAUUUCCCUCUCAAGAACUUGAGAUUGUUCUUCCAAAAAUCAUUGUUUAAAAUGGAACCCAUUUGUGUUAAUUCUUCAUGGGUUUUGACUUGCUUUAGAUGUUAAAAUUUAUGCCUUUUUUUUCAAAGAUUACAAUGGAAACUUAUGAUUUAAUAUGUUAGUUUUUAUAUGUGACUGUGUAAUUGGCACCAUAAAGAAUGUAGAUGCCUUUGAUUGGGGGCAGUGGUUCCGGGGCAGAGUUGGAAUUUCACAGAUAGUCCUUGUAGAGGUGGUAAUACAGUCAAACAUAUGUUAUUGCAAUUUAUUAAUUUUGCUANNNNN
rnacentral:lncRNA from 1 species